GAUGAACGCUAGCUACAGGCCUAACACAUGCAAGUCGAGGGACCGGCGCACGGGUGAGUAACACGUAUCCAACCUGCCCUUUACCCGGGGAUAGCCUUUCGACAGAAAGAUUAAUACCCGAUGUAAAGGAUGGGGAUGCGUUCCAUUAGGUUGUUGGUGAGGUAACGGCUCACCAAGCCUUCGAUGGAUAGGGGUUCUGAGAGGAAGGUCCCCCACAAUGGAACUGCGACACGGACCAAACUCCUACGGGAGGCAGGAGUGAGGAAUAUUAGUCAAUGGGCGUUAGCCUGAACCAGCCAAGUAGCGGGAAGGAUGAAGGCUUAUGGGUCGUAGACUUCUUUUAUAUAAGAAUAUGUAUUAUAUAAGUAAGGAUCGGCUAACUCCGUGCCAGCAGCCGCGGUAAUUC
rnacentral:rRNA from 1 species